CCAGACAUCCUGGGCAGCUCCAAAGCCAUGUCCUCCUGAAGGGGGCCCACAGGCCCAAGUCCACAUCAGACCCAAGUCCACAUGCAGCAGCUCCCACAGCUGAGAGGCAACAGUGGGCCCAUCUGCAUUUUCAGUUUCACCACAUGCCUGGCCUGAGACAGCGCCCAGCACUCAGGCAUGAUCUGAAUAGCUGAAAGCAAAGAGGGACCUUCUUUCCCAGAUCUUUUGCUUUUUAUAGCACAGCCCACAAAAGGGUGCGCUCCUUUGAACCCAAUUUGAUUCCAUAGUUGUUUCAUUUUUAUGCAUUCCCAGGGGAUGUGGCUAAGGGGUGUAGAGAACCUCUUUCUCCCUGCAAGUCUGGUGCUGGAGAGAAACCAGGAGGGUGGUGGGUGCCAAGGGAGGCAGCCCCUAGUCCCGUUCCUGGACGCCUCUCUUCAGAGGCAGUUCACAAGACAUGGGAUGGACUCCACCAAGACAGAGGCAGGAGGACAGUUGGGGCACUGCCCUGCAGCGGGCGCUGAUCUCCAGGUGCUGCUGUUGGCAUUCCUGCCCUCCAGUGUCUGCCAGCCUGGCGGAUUUGCAGCCUCCACCCCUGCAUGGACUGAAGCUCGUGGUUCCUGACCCUUGGACACUGAUUCCAGGCUGGCCCCUGAGAUUCCUGGAUCCGAAACCAGAAGUGACAUUCAGAAUCUCAGCUCCAGCUGCAGUUCAUGUUCCUAGAAUAUGAACCACUAGACCACACCUCUGUCCGGACUCACAUGCAGCUCAGAUCUGUGGACUGAGUGGCCACCAAAGCCACCAACUUCCCACAAGCACACCCUCAAACCUGUCCUCCCUUCUUGAGAAAAAGGAGAUAUCGCUGCUGUAGCCUCAGCCCCUCUCACCUGCUCAAGCACUUGGCUCCCGCAAUUUCCCUCCCCAGUGGAGUGUUCCCAUCAGUAGCCAACUGGCUCUAAUUCCUCUCAUCUUAAAAAACAGGACUUCCACUUCUGGGAAGAUGGAGCAGACAUACUCUGCCAUAUUGUUCCCACUAGGUGGAAUUAACAUACUGAAAAUUAUUCAUAAAGCAAAUAUAGAAUGACUCUGAAAGAUGGAGAAAAUAGAGCAGACUAGCUAGGACCCCAGGAUAUAAGGUGUGUUUCUGGGGUUUUCUUCUUGCCUCUUAUAUCCCACAUUUGGAGCUGCUGAAGCCUAAAAUUUGGAAAUGCCCAAGGGGCACAGACGACCAAAAAAAGUACCAGCAAAAGCCAGCUCUCCCUAACCAAGGCAGCCUAGCAGGACAGGGAGCUCUCAGACAACUCACAGAAAACGCUGGCUCCAUCUCCAUCCCUCCCUUCCAGCAAAGACCCAGAGGAGCACCUAGACUGCAGUGAGGCAUCCGAAUCCCCUCACCCUCCAUGGGGUGCUGUCAGAGAAAGCCAAGUAGGAAGUGGAACGUUCCUCCUCAGCAGGGGUUAUCACGGCCCCCCAGCCCAAGCCCACCUCCGCGGUACUAGUGAAGACCACACGGGACACCUUGACUUCCAUUUACACAGGCAGUAGGGGCACCCCCUGCAGCUAGGGAGCUAUCAGAAGGGCCUUGUGCAGCCAGGACUUUUACCACCAUCCAGCAGUCACAAAGCCGCCCACCCACACACAGUGUGCAGAAAUCACGUGGAGAACAAGAACAAGGCACCUCUAACCCUCCCAGCCAGGAAAGUUCCCUUGAGGCAUGGUGGGGAGCCAGACCGGCCACCCCCGCCCAGCAGUAAGGAGAACACGCUACCAUAAGUCAACAGAUGCCAAGUGGGGAACCUAGACUUCUGCACUCACCGGCAACAAGACAGCAGCCCUCCUCCUUCCCUGACAGCCAACGCAGAAUGCUUAACUGAGAUCCAAGGUCCCAUGCUGAAAGGCCAAAAAUGGCCAGUUUUCAACUGAAACUCACUUGUCAUACUAAGAACCAAGAAGAGCACCAAUUUCUUAGAUGCUGUGAUGGUUAAUGUUGUGUCAACUUAGCUGGGCCACGGGGUACUCAGAUACUUGGUCAAGUACACUUGACAGUACCUUACAGAUACUUCUACAAAGGUGCUCUGAGAUGAGAUUAUCACUUUAAUCCACAGAGUGAAGACCACUGCUCUCUGUAAUGUGGGGUGGACCUCAUUCAACCCACAUUCAAGACCAACCCUCCCCUGGGUAAGGGAAAAGUCUCCAGCAGGUGCCUCUGGAUUUCACCUCUGCCGGCCACCGCCAUCGGGAACUGCAUCAUCAGCUCUCCAUGUGUGGACAGCACACAAGCCCGCCAGGCAGAACCACAGAUGUGGACAUGCCAGCCUCUGUGAUCACAUGAGCCAGUUCCUCAUGAUAAAUCUCCCUCUCCACACACACACACAGACACACAUCACACACAGACACACAUCACACACAUGCACCACACACGACACACACAUGCAUACACCACACACACACACGCACACACCCCACACAAACCAGACACACAUACACCAUACACACACACUGGACACACAAGCGCACACACCACACACAUGCACACCACACACACCAACACCAAACACACACACACUACACACCUACACGCACACCAUACGUACACCACACACACCAGACACAAAGGACACGCAAACACACACACCAGACACACACACGCACCACACACCACACACAUGCAUACACCACACACACACUCACACCACACAUACCAGACACACAUACACCAUACACACACACUGGACACACAAGCGCACACACCACACACAUGCACACCACACACACCAGACACA
rnacentral:lncRNA from 10 species